rnacentral:rRNA from 1 species
AUUGAACGCUGGCGGCAGGCCUAACACAUGCAAGUCGAGCGGAUGAAGGGAGCUUGCUCCUGGAUUCAGCGGCGGACGGGCGAGUAAUGCCCAGGAAUCUGCCUGGUAGUUGGGGAUAACGUCCGGAAACGGGCGCUAAUACCGCAUACGUCCUGAUGUAGAAAGUGGGGGAUCUUCGGACCUCACGCUAUCUGAUGAGCCUAGGUCGGAUUAGCUAGUUGGUGUGGUAAAGGCCUACCAAGGCGACGAUCCGUAACUGGUCUGAGAGGAUGAUCAGUCACACUGGAACUGAGACACGGUCCAGACUCCUACGGGAGGCAGCAGUGGGGAAUAUUGGACAAUGGGCGAAAGCCUGAUCCAGCCAUGCCGCGUGUGUGAAGAAGGUCUUCGGAUUGUAAAGCACUUUAAGUUGGGAGGAAGGGCAGUAAGUUAAUACCUUGCUGUUUUGACGUUACCAACAGAAUAAGCACCGGCUAACUUCGUG